rnacentral:ncRNA from 1 species
UGACCUCAGAUCAGGCAAGGCAACCCGCUGAAUUUAAGCAUAUUAAUAAGCGGAGGAAAAGAAACUAACAAGGAUUCCCCUAGUAAUGGCGAAUGAAGCGGGAACAGCUCAAAUUGAAAAUCUCCGUUGCUUGCAACGGCGAAUUGUAGUUUCGAGAAGCACUUUCUCGGCGGAUCCGAGGUCGUCCAAGUUGCUUGGAACAGCACGUCGUAGAGGGUGACAACCCCGUCUGCGGCGAUCUCGGCCGUUCACGAUGUGCUUUCGACGAGUCGGGUUGUUUGGGAAUGCAGCCCAAAAUGGGUGGUAAACUCCAUCUAAAGCUAAAUAUUGGCACGAGACCGAUAGCGAACAAGUACCGUGAGGGAAAGAUGAAAAGCACUUUGAAAAGAGAGUUAAAAAGUACGUGAAACCGUUAAAAGGGAAACGAAUGGGGUUAGCAAUGCGUCGUGCGAGAUUCAGCCGGUGGGUGGGCCAGGCGGGCGGUUGGCGGAUCUGAAUGGACCGCUGCCGUUCGGGUUGGUUUCCUCGCAGGCGCGCGCCAACGUCGGUUAGGGCUGGAUCUCAAAGGCGGUGGAAAGGUAGGUUUGGACUCUCGGGCCCGAACUGUUACAGUCCUCCGUUUGUCAUGGCCCGGACCUGACCGAGGAGCUUGCGGUGCAUGCCGUUCGGCUAGGGUCCCGUCUUCCCGGUCGGUCGUCGAAUGCGGUGGACUGCGUGCAGUGCGCCGCGACUGCUGCCGGUCGCGAGGGCGGUGAUUUCGUACUAUGCACCCACGACGUUGGCGGUCAUAUGGCCUCAUCCGACCCGUCUUGAAACACGGACCAAGGAGUCUAACAUGUGUGCGAGUCUUUGAGUGAUCGAAACUCCGAGGCGUAAUGAAAGUGAAGGCGACUCCGGUCGCUGAGGUGAGAGCCUUUUACAAAAAAAGGCGCAUCAUUGACCGACCUAUUCUACUCUUAGAAAGGUUUGAGUAAGAGCGCAUCUGUUGGUACCCGAA